GUGGGGAAUAUUGGACAAUGGGCGCAAGCCUGAUCCAGCCAUGCCGCGUGAGUGAUGAAGGCCCUAGGGUUGUAAAGCUCUUUCACCGGAGAAGAUAAUGACGGUAUCCGGAGAAGAAGCCCCGGCUAACUUCGUGCCAGCAGCCGCGGUAAUACGAAGGGGGCUAGCGUUGUUCGGAAUUACUGGGCGUAAAGCGCACGUAGGCGGACAUUUAAGUCAGGGGUGAAAUCCCGGGGCUCAACCCCGGAACUGCCUUUGAUACUGGGUGUCUGGAGUAGGGAAGAGGUAAGUGGAAUUCCGAGUGUAGAGGUGAAAUUCGUAGAUAUUCGGAGGAACACCAGUGGCGAAGGCGGCUUACUGGUCCAUUACUGACGCUGAGGUGCGAAAGCGUGGGGAGCAAACAGGAUUAGAAACCCUAGUAGUCC
rnacentral:rRNA from 1 species